GGGCGCUUAGCUCAGUUGGUCAGAGCGCUGCCCUUACAAGGCAGAAGUCACAAGUUCGAGUCUUGUAGCGCCCACCC
rnacentral:tRNA from 1 species